UUUCUAACAAUAAUUUUUAAAGUAAAGUGUCAAGCUGAAUAAGAUAUUUAAUAGUAGUAGUAGAUAGUUCCUUAAAUAAUAAGUUCGCUAUCCCCAUAAAUUUCUAUUUGUCAGGGUUCUGAACAAAUAUUAUUACUGUCGUCAUUUUGAAAAAGAGAUGGAAACUGUCAACACAAAUGCAGGUUUCUUGUGCAAUUAUGAAGUUAUGCUAAUUUUGCAACAACUCAAAGAUAACACACAGAAAAAACAUAAACGAGAAGGAUCUUUAGCCACUGUGACAUAUGAAACUGUUCGCUAUUUACAAGAAUCAGAAUGUAAUAAUCAAAAUACUGAUGCUAUUGAGAAGUUUCUAGAAGCGACAAAAUGCUUCAAAGUUGACAAAAGUGGAAAAAUUAAUGAUGGUCAAUACACCACCUAGAACAGAGUUGGAAAUACAGUUGGUUGCCUUUGCCUCUUCCUGUAUGACCAGAUAACCAUAAAGACGAUAAAGUUCCAAGGGUCAAGAAGUGCUCGAGCGCGGAUGAUGGUGUGUUUUUCAUGCAUCCAGUAUGUGCUGUGGUUGCUAAGUGCUGUAGACUCUGAAGGUUUGAUUUUUUCAAUGUCAGUUGUGUCUUGGGCCACCAUACAACUGAUCUGUGGGUGGGAAGGUCUGAUGACAGAUGUGUGCAGCCAUAGUACUAUUUUUGGGCUGAUACCGCAUCUUUUGCGGACAAGCCUUUUGCACUGAUAAAAAGCAAUAUAAAUAUGGAAAUUUUAGAAUAAGAAUAAUAUUUGACAAGAGAAAAAUUUAAUCUGAAUAUCUAUCAAAAAUUUUGAUCUUAUUUGUUUCUUCAUCUAUAUAAAUUCUAACUUAUUGCGAAAAAUGUUAUUGCAAUGAUUAUAAUUUUUGAUAUAGUUAAAUGGUGUACUUACUAUAUUAAAAGGACAAUAAUACAUAACAAUAAACUAUUUGGAAUAUAAAACUUGAUCAGAUAAAUUGUUCAGGAGAGUGAGGAGCAACUUUCAGAGGAAGAAGUACAAAAUCUAAUAUCAAUUGUUAAUAAGAUUUUCCCGCCAGUAUAAUCAGUAUGAAUUAUUAAAAAGCCUUUGUAUAAAUAAAUCUAACAUAAAGACCAUUAGUAAUAAGUAAAUAAAUAAAUCUUAUAUAAUA